UCAGCUUGCGGGCUAUUAAGGGCCCAAAGCCUCCACCCCCCAUCCCCACACGGGCCACACUGAGCCGGGCUGAGCGCUGGGACACUGCAGCAGAACCAGCCGCAGGAGGAACCGGGCUGAAGAAGUGGAAAUGUAUCUUACACGUAUAAAGAGGAUUAUCCCACACACCGCUGUGAAGGCGUACAGAGGCUGAAAUGGAUCAGCUCUUAUUGUUCAGCUUCUCGGCCAUUCACAUCCUGUCCAAAGCCUCGCAUUCCGCCGGGUUUUGUGCAGCGUGAAGCAUGUGCAAAGCUAAAGAACAUUCUUGGACGGCUCCACGCGUUGGCCACAGAGCACAUACAGUUCCUCGUGUGUCGGCCUUCAGGAGCGCGGUGGAUUACAGCCAUUCACGCCGGAGUCAAUUAAAGCCAGUUAAAGUCACCACAGGCUUUGUUUACACAUUAUGGGAACUCUGUGAAGUGGGAGGAGAGAGAAAAAAACAUCUAAUGAAUACCUUUCAAAGGAUUAUUUAAGGCUUGUGUGUCUGGGUAGGUUUAAAGCCUGUCCUCAAACUCAGCUUGAUGGAGUUUCGUGUUGGAAAUGUGGAAAACUGAGGUCAAUAAAAGGAUAAAGCACUGA